rnacentral:tRNA from 1 species
GCGUCUGUGGUGUAAUGGUUAGCAUGGUUGCCUUCCAAGCAAUCGACGGGGGUUCGAUUCCCCCAGACGCA